GACGAACGCUGGCGGCGUGCCUAAUACAUGCAAGUAGGACGCAGUUGCGAACGGGUGAGUAACGCGUAGGUAACUACCUAUUAGAGGGGGAUAACUAUUGGAAACGAUAGCUAAUACCGCCUACUAGUAGAUGGACCUUCGUUGUAUUAGCUAGUAGGUAGGGUAAUGGCCUACCUAGGCAACGAUACAUAGCCGACCUGGGAGGGGGAUCGGGCACAAUGGGACUGAGACACAGCCCAGACUCCUACGGGAGGCAGCAGUAGGGAAACUUCGGCAAUGGGGGGAACCCUGACCGAGCAAAGCCGCGGGAGUGAAGAAGGUUUUCGGGGCGGAAAGCUCUGUUGUUAAGGAAGCGGUACUUAACCAAAAAGGGACGGCUAACUACGUGCCAGCCGCCGCGGUAAUAC
rnacentral:rRNA from 1 species